GCGAGGGUGGGGCCAAGAGGCCACGCGGCUGACUUGCUGAGGAGCCAGUUUAUGGGCAGGUCACCUGACCAGAUGGGAGGUUACAGACCAGCCUAAAGACAGGGAGAGGGGGACAGAGGAUCCGAAGCAGGCUCCGCACUGACAGCAGAGAGCCCGAUGUGGGGCUCGAACCCACGACCUCGAGAUCAUGACCUGAGCCAAAGUCGGACGCUCAACUGACUGAGCCACCCAAGUGCCCCUCUACUGAGGUCUUUUAAAGAAAUUCCCAGACAUUAUUUCACUUCAUCUGUAAAUUUUUUGUUUUUUUUUAAAAGGUUUUACAGAUUUGCACAUAGAAGAGGCACAAAGAAAACAAUAAAGAAUCUCCAAAGUAUAAACAGUACAAACAGCAUUCUCUGAUCAUAGAGCAAACAAACUAGAAAUUCGCACUAACAUCCAACCCACAGAAAGGCCCUUCCUCCUGGAAAUCAGACAUAUGUAUCUUUUUUUUAAUGUUUAUCUAUUCAUUUUGAGAGGGGGGAGGGGCAGAGAGAGAGGGAGAGAGAGAGAACCCCAAGCAGGCUCUGCACCAUCAGCACAGAGCCCGACGCAGGGCUCCAUCCCACUAACCAUGAGAUCAUGACCUGAGCUGAAAUCAAGAGUCAGAUGCUUAACCGACUGAGCCACCCAGGCAUCCUUCAAACACAUAUAUUGAGAUACACGCUUGCAAGAUGGGAGCUAUUCCAAAGCUGUACAAUUUCUAGAAAGUAAUGAUAUGAACAGAACAGCAAGUAUAUGAUUCUGCUCCAACAAUAUCUACAAAAAUAUCUGGUAGUAAAUAUCAGAAACUAUAAAUCAUUAAACACCUAAAUAAAGAACUAGCAAAGGACCAACAAAGUAAACAAAAGAAAGCAGAAGGAAGGAAUUAAUGGAGGUCAAAGCAGAAAUGUAACAAGUUGAAAAAGAGUGUUUCACUAAUAUGUCAAAACCGGUGGAUUGAAAAAUCAACCAAAUUGGAAAACUACUAGCUGGCGUAAUUAAAAAAAGAAAGAAAGAAAGAAAGAACCAGAAAUACACAAAGUAAAUGACAAGAGAAAAAUAAUUAGAAGGAUUUUUAAAAAUAAGAUGACCGGUGACUCCCAUUGGCUCCGUCUAUAGCCUCUGCUCACAGCUCGUUCAAUGCUUGGGUGUGGAUGCUUGUUCUGUUCGAACUUGAUCCCACUAGAAAUCUCCUUUUCUCCCUACAUCCCCCGCCCCUGGGUCCCAGGCCUCUCCCCUAGUUGCAACGAUCGAGGCUCAGCCUUUGAACUGUGUACCGAAGCCUUGUGAGCGGCUGACUCAGAGCUUGAGACCAGGAGUCAUCAGGUGUGCGAUUCUAUGUGGUGUGUGCUUAGGUUUUCUCGAGAGCUGUCACGGAAGAAAAGGAGAAAACUCAAACACAAAACUCACCAAGGGACCCUAUGAAAACCUUAAAGACCAGUUGAUCACAAAGCUGCCUGAACCAUCACAAAGCACAGAAAAAGAACGUAAGCUUCUGUGUUACUUCCACGAAGCUAAUAGAACAUCGCUAGCAGACCUGACAAAGACAGUCUAUCACUAACAAAUACCGACGCGAACAUUUUUGCAUAAAGCCAGAAGCAGAGAGAAUCCCCAAACACGUUUAAUAUGUCACGAGCAAGUGGGAUUUUUUUCCAGAAAUGCAGGGCGGUUUAAUAUCAGGAAAUCUAUCCUCUUCACAGAGCUGGGAGAAGAACCACGUGAUCGCGUCCACACACGCCAACAAGGCAUUUGACAAAAUUCAGCUCCCGGUUGAUGCUGGCUAUAAACCGCAAACCACAGGUGCUCGUGCCUGGCUCCAGCUUUGAUGAUGGAGGCAUCUACUCCAAAGACGGCUCUCUCCGCUAAACACACAGCCGGCCACGGGACUGGGUAAAGAGCCGGCUCCCCACCUGCCGGUCUCCUUGUUUCAGCCAUCUUGGUUGAUUCAGAUAACAGACCAUUUGGGCCUCUUGCUUUUUUUUUCUUCUCUUCCCACCCUUCGAAAUCCUAGGCCUAUAUUUUAAGUUCACCAGUAGAGUAUGAACCCUCAAAACCCUAGCCCCCACCUUCAACCCCAAUAAAAGUAGAAUUCCAGGACUGGGCACUCACUAACUCUGUCUCUGUCUCUCUCUCUCUGGGACCUUGCUGUGUGGCCCCGGGUGUGCUGUGUAACUUCCAGGUCCUGUAAGUAAGAAACCUUUAUUUCAAAGUUCCCUGACGGUUGUCACUGAAGGACAUCUGCCACCAGAGCGAGAACCAGUGGGGCCCGUCCAACCACAGCACUGGUUACUGCUCGGCUGAGACCAGCGCACAACAAUGACCCCAUCUGACCUUAUCUCCAAACGCCGUCACAAUCUAAGUAAAAGAGCAGUAGUUAAUUCCGGAAGCUGGACUCCGUGCUGAGACUAAAUCGCCACAUUCCCCACCCUUCGUUGUAGUUGGGGGGUAGUAGCCACGUGAUCAAGCCCCGGACAAAGAAAUGAAAAAGAAAGGAUGGGAGUAACAUGGGGACACACGUCUUUUAAAGUGGCUUCUUCCCAGACACCUGGGUGGCUCGGCCAGUGAAGCAUCCAACUCCAGCUCAGGUCAUGAUCUCAAGGUCUGUGAAUUUGAACCCCUCAUCGGACUCUCUGCUGACAGUGCAGAGUUCGUUUCUGAGUCACUGUCUCCCUCUCUCU